AACGAACGCUGGCGGCAUGCCUAACACAUGCAAGUCGAACGAGACCUUCGGGUCUAGUGGCGCACGGGUGCGUAACACGUGGGAAUUUGCCUCGGGGUAUGGAAUAACUCAGGGAAACUUGAGCUAAUACCAUAUAAUGUCUUCGGACCAAAGAUUUAUCGCCCUGAGAUAAGCCCGCGUAGGAUUAGCUAGUUGGUGGGGUAAAGGCUCACCAAGGCGACGAUCCUUAGCUGGUCUGAGAGGAUGAUCAGCCACACUGGGACUGAGACACGGCCCAGACUCCUACGGGAGGCAGCAGUGGGGAACAUUGGACAAUGGGCGAAAGCCUGAUCCAGCAAUGCCGCGUGAGUGAUGAAGGCCUUAGGGUUGUAAAGCUCUUUACCCGGGAUGAUAAUGACAGUACCGGGAGAAUAAGCUCCGGCUAACUCCGUGCCAGCAGCCGCGGUAAUGUGACUACUG
rnacentral:rRNA from 1 species